UAGUUCAUGGAUAGAGGAAAAAUUAUUUUAUUAUCAGAAGGGGCUGUACCCGAAAACAUAUGGGUUGCCUACGUACCCCACAAGGGAUCAAGCCCAAAACGUAGUUCUUUACAUAAAUAACUCCCACUAACCAAAAAUAUCAAAUGUUUCCACAAUACCCAUAUUAGUAACAUGUGUCUUAAAGACUUUUGGAGCGAGUCCCUUAGUCAAGGGAUCUGCAACCAU
rnacentral:lncRNA from 1 species